GUUGCUGGCUUCUACAGCUACAUGUGCUAAAAUUGGAACAAUACGGAGAAGAUUAGCAUGGCCCCUGGGCAAGAAUGACAUGCAAAUUUGUGAAGGGUCCCCUAUUUUU
ensembl:snRNA U6 U6 spliceosomal RNA